CCGCGGCACAUGGAGGUUCCCAGGCCAGGGGUCGAAUCGGAGCUGUAGCCACCGGCCUACGCCAGAGCCACAGCAACUCGGGAUCCCAGCCGCGUCUGCAACCUACACCACAGCUCACGGCAACGCCGAAUCGUUAUCCCACUGAGCAAGGGCAGGGAUCGAACCCGAAACCUCAUGGUUCCUAGUCGGAUUCAUCAACCACUGAGCCACAACGGGAACUCCUGUUAUUUUUAUUUUUUGAGUAUAGUUUUAAAUAUUAACAACUCUUGAUCUGAAGUCAUAUUUGGGAUUUGUGGAGCUUUUUUUGUUUGGGUUUUUGUAUGUCAGUUGAAAACACCUUUCAAAUUUUUCAAAAUUUCUAAACAUGCAUUCACCUAAAUUCACAUUCUGCAUCAUUUGGCUGCGUGGACAGGUCACCAGAGCUGAGCGUGGGGUGGGGGGGUGCGGGGAGGGGAGCAGGGGAGAGAGGCGUCCCUCUGGGACGGCCCCCUCAGGGUCCAUGUACCCCUCUUGGUUUAGAGUUCCUACUUACGUGUCAGCUACAAUUCCAAAACUACAUGUUAUUUCCAUAUUCUGACGUUGAGUAAGGCUACUCUCAUCCAUCCCUGGGGAAGCUUUGCAUCAGUUGUGAGCUGAGAUGCUUUUAGAGGGGAGCAGGCUCAAGCUCCCUGUUCACUUUUAAACACUGGUCACCCAGCUGCACUGCAAAGGAGACACGGUUGAAAUGAAAAUUUAAGAAGUGAAGAGUGAAAGGACUCUAGUGGGAGUCAGAUCACAAACGGUGUGACUAGUUUCCCAGAAGCCGGCCUUUGUUCUGCUCCUGAGGCCUUAUUUGCUUUGGCUCCUCCCUGAAAGUGAGGUCUCCCAGCUGUUUUGUCCCAGCAGAGAGGAGGUAGCGGGAUUUAUUUACCGCAGACAGGCCGGCACCACUCAAGGUCUCCCAGCACCGGGCCCAAGACUAGUUUUCAAAAUCCUGCUUAGCACGGUUCCCUGUGUGACCUUGAGUAAGUCAUUCACAGGCUUGGGGCCUUAUCGUUCCAUCUCUAAAUGCUCCUUUAACUCAGCCUUCUCUGUGGAUAGGUAUCUGACCAGCUCUCCUGGUCCUUGUUCUCCAUAUCGAAUAAGCUAUUUCUGGAACUCCCUUGGGCAGAAAGUCCAGCCUGAUCUGCAGGGAUUACUGCCAUGACAUUCAGCAGCUCCAGGAACCUGCUUUUAGGAUGAGUUAAAUUCAGACUCCUUAAGCCGAUACUUUCUUCUCUCUCCAACCUCGCACUUUUUCUUAUCAUCCUAAAAUAUUAUGUGGUGCCAUAAAUAUAUUUUGAAACUAAAAUUUUUACAUUCUUUCAUGUCAGGUCACUGAGCCUACUAACCUUAUUAGCAAAGUAAUUGUGUUCCAUAAUAAUAUUGUACACGUUAUUACCAUUUUAUUGCCAAUCAUUUCCAAAGACAGUUUUAAUUAAUAAGCAUUUAAUACCCAACAUUAUGACACCCGUGUCUGGCCUGUGAUUUCCCUGGGUUUAAAUGGCCUUUCGGUGCCCAUCAGUUCUGUCGGACAGCACUCGACAGGAGUGCACUGUCGUGGGACAGUGCAUGAAGCUUGGCAGCUAUGGCUGCCGCGUGUUCAGAUUCGAGCUUGCAGAGUCUGUACCCUGGGAACGGCGAUGGGUCUCAGUGCGGGCUGCUGCUGGUGGAUUGCUGCUGGCAGCACACUGGCCAAGCAAGGGUUGUUAGUUUUCUCCCUCUAAAGGUCCCUGGCAGCUCUUCCAUCAACUUCUCCUGCUAUUUAGAGUUCAGUGGGUCUUGGGAAGCUCUGACCAUUCUUAAAGAGCUUCUUUAGGAGGUGAGAAGGGCUUCUGCCCAGGAAACUCCAUUGGUUAAAGUGCUGAGAGGCUCCUGAGAUACUGAGCAUCCCGGAGGGUUGGUGCAGCUGUCAGCACCUGUGAGUUCCCCUUGAUCUCAAGUGAAGAUCAGCCCCUGGGCGAAUGUUUUAAUGGUGGGAAAAGCCUGUUCCACACCACUGGGCCCGGGGGGUCACUCCAGCCACUGGAUGCUGCCAGAACAACUCAGGUAGCAGCCUCGAGUCUCAUUUCCAGAUUCCACGCUAGCGGGCUAUCUAAGGGACAACUUUGCAGUGCUUCCCUGUGUUGUGUGCUCAAGUUUAUUCGUUUAUUUACUGGUUUGUUUGUUUCCUUUAUGUGCAGUGACUGUAGGAUACAUCCAUCAGAGGUGAGACUUUUAGGUAUUUCCAUACUCAUUUAAAAAGUCAAAUACAGGAGUUCCCGUUGUGGUGCAGUGGAAAUGAAUCCGACUAGUAACCAUGAAGUUGUACGUUCAAUCCCUGGCCUCGCUCAGUGGGUUAAGGAUCCGGCGUUUCCAUGACCUGUGGUGUAGGUCGAAGACAUGGCUCGGAUCUGGUGUUGCUGUGGCUGUGGUGUAGGCUGGCAGCUACAGAUCCGACUGGACCCCUAGCCUAGGAACCUCCAUAUGCUGUGGAUGUGGCCCUAAAAAGCAAAAAAUAAAUAAAAAUAAAAAGUUAAAUACAAAGUUCCCACCAUGGCCCAGUGGAUUAAGAACCUGACUGCCGUGGCUCAGGUCACUGUGGAGGU
rnacentral:lncRNA from 1 species